GUGGCGGACGGGUGAGUAACACGUGGGAACGUGCCUUUAGGUUGCGGAAUAGCUCCUGGAAACGGGUGGUAAUGCCGAAUGUGCCCUUCGGGGGAAAGAUUUAUCGCCUUUAGAGCGGCCCGCGUCUGAUUAGCUUGUUGGUGAGGUAAUGGCUCACCAAGGCGACGAUCAGUAGCUGGUCUGAGAGGAUGACCAGCCACAUUGGGACUGAGACACGGCCCAAACUCCUACGGGAGGCAGCAGUGGGGAAUCUUGCGCAAUGGGCGAAAGCCUGACGCAGCCAUGCCGCGUGGAUGAUGAAGGUCUUAGGAUUGUAAAAUCCUUUCACCGGUGAAGAUAAUGACUGUAGCCGGAGAAGAAGCCCCGGCUAACUUCGUGCCAGCAGCCGCGGUAAUACGAAGGGGGCUAGCGUUGCUCGGAAUUACUGGGCGUAAAGGGAGCGUAGGCGGACAUUUAAGUCAGGGGUGAAAUCCCAGAGCUCAACUCUGGAACUGCCUUUGAUACUGGGUGUCUUGAGUGUGAGAGAGGUAUGUGGAACUCCGAGUGUAGAGGUGAAAUUCGUAGAUAUUCGGAAGAACACCAGUGGCGAAGGCGACAUACUGGCUCAUUACUGACGCUGAGGCUCGAAAGCGUGGGGAGCAAACAGGAUUAGAUACCCUGGUAGUCCACGCCGUAAACGAUGAUUGCUAGUUGUCGGGAAGCUUGCUUUUCGGUGACGCAGCUAACGCAUUAAGCAAUCCGCCUGG
rnacentral:rRNA from 1 species